AGCACGAAAAGGCAAACUCAGGGAAACCUGAUGUGCGCAAAGCUAUAGGGGCUUCAUCCUUCACAGGAUAUGCUCGCCAGCUGCCGAA
rnacentral:ncRNA from 1 species